CUGACAAGUUGAAAUGACCUGGUGAGAGCAGGUCUGUCAGUAGGGGGCUCCUUUGUGCUUUUAUGAAACAGUGCGAUUAGCAUCCAUCACAAAGGCUGGACAGAACAUUCCAAAUUAGGGAUGGACUGAGCUAGAUCA